UUAGUUUUAUUUUUUCUUUUUUUUUUGUUGGGCUGCAAUUAAGGAUGUUUGACUGAGCUUGUAAGCUCUCAAACAACUUAUAUAAAACAGCUUAAGCUAUUUGGGAGCUUAUACGCUGCUUCUAGGUGUUUGGAAAAAUAAGCUUCUAAACAUCUUAUAAACUUCAAAAAUAAGCUCCAAUAACUUAUAAGCUCCCCAAAAAAUAAGUUCCUCUACCCCAACUUAUUUUUUUAUAAUCUCAUAUGCAAC
rnacentral:lncRNA from 1 species